GUCACUUGUUUGUUAGGGGCUUGCUCGUGGAUCUCCAGCGAUUUCCCAGGGACAGAUGGAAGUGCUGCUUUGAAUUAAACUCAGCUCAUUGAACAUGCCCUGAGCAAACCAUCGUUAGAAAAGCAAAGCAAGUGGGAACCUGGUUGGUUGAGCUCAGAGGAGCAAGUGUCUGCUGGAGACGAAGGCUAGGAGAGUUUCUGGUCUCUUAGAAAUUGGUAAUUGCCAGCUGAUGGGGAGAUCAACUGUCUUCAAUGAUGUUUCUGUGCAGCCUGGUUACAGACUACUUGGUCUUAAGCAAUUAGAGCCGUUUCUGCUUCAUACUCUAAUAGAGCUCGUUGUCAGGCGUAAUUCAAAUUAUCUCAGUGCUAAGCUAAUGUCUCUUUGAUAGCACUUGCCAAACAUCACUGACAAUUUUGUACUUUUAAGUAUCAAGGCAUCCAAAGAUCACUGACAGACACAGGAGGGGCACCCCUCCCUUCUCCAGCAUUAUAAGUAUGUAUUGAGUUAACCUCACGCUUUUGGGUACAGACAGUGGCUGCCAGUGAGAGCAGUACCUUGUAUGAAGGUAGCAACACCAUGUCCAGUAAAGGAAAGGACGUGUUAUACCUUGGUCUGUGCAGAACUCUACCAGAAAUCAAAAUAACCUGUUAAGAGGACCCAUUUAAAAUAUAUAUAUGUGAGGAUGUCUUGUAGCUUCAAGUUUCUUCCAUGUCAAAAUUCAGAGAGGCUAAAAUGAGCAUCCCCUUUCUGCCCAGAGCCCCAGCUGCAAUCAUCUUUAUCCAACUCCAGCUUUUCAGCCCUUAGCUAAGAAAUUACACCAGAUUUUUGGUCAUUUAUCUCCCACUUGAGUUCUCAUCAGAAAAGCAAGUGUGUACAGAUUGCAGCUGCUGCUUUUCAUUUGAUCUUCCCUUCUGCAGUGUGCACUAAAUGAGGGAGUUAGUCCUGUUUGAGCAUGGCUGGGUUAGGCUGGUGCUCCUCUCCGUGGGUCAAACUGCCUAUGAACACCAGCUUUGCACAACAGCUGGCUCGUGGCUGAGGCCUGAUUACAUUUUGAUAAGCACAUUGAACUGGAUUUAACUUCACUUUGGCAGGAUGUCAUUCAAAAGGCACUGGCUGGUUGGCGGCUGCCCUUCGUCUAUAGCACUGAAUUAGUCUGGCUAUUAAAAUAAGGCAUGAAAACAUCAAGGCAGGAGCAAUUCUGGAAUGUGGGAAGAGGCAGAACUGACUCAUGCAAGGGGCACUGGAUCAGACAGUCCCAUAACUAGCAGCCCCUCCUCACUUUAUAUAACAUAGUGCAAGAGGAGAAGCCUUCAGAGGACUCGCUCACAGUCCUAAAAUGAGCAUUAAGUCCCCACGUGCCUCGCUGCCCCGAUGCUUGUCUCUAGCUCUUCAGCAUCUCGUGUGCCCUAAAAGCCACAAGGCAGAAUUGUUUCAGAUUGGGAACAGGGGCACAGGACCCAGCCUGCCCACUGCUGCCAUGCAGUCUGGCCACCCCGGGGAGGGGGCACGGCUCGGUUCACUCCACUUGUCUCACAGCCUGGGACAACAGGGCUGCAGUUUGUGGGCUUGAUGCUACUUAACAAGGCGGGAACCAGCAGUACUGAUAUCUUCACUAUUGCAGAGAUGUUUGCUUUUUGAAUCCAGGUGUCAAUCUAGUGUAUUGAUAGGGAGUUUGUGUGACUAAAUGUAUUUCUCUUCUGUGCUGUCACAACCAGUUUCUCUCCUUGUCACGCUCUGGUUCAGGCUCACUGUACAAAGGGACGUGCAGCUCUCUGUACCAAGGCAGUGUGCAAGGCACUGUGAAGAUCAGUGCACUUCAACAAAUGACAAACCCCUUCCCACCCCUUCCCUAAGCACAACAGCACAAGGAGAGGUUUCAAGAACAUGUUUAAUGAUGGCAGUUUCCACUGAAACAUGAGAUGUCCAUUCAAACUUGUCUUACCAAUUUUUCUUAUAUAAAAAAAAACAA